CUCAAGCUGAGACUCGCGAAUGGGAAUUUCGUUUUUAAGUUUUGGUCUGGCUGUCUGUCUGUUUGUCUUCUUUUGAGAAUUGUUUCAUUUUUUUUUUUGGUUUGGAAAAAAGUUUAGUUUUUCCAUUUGGCCACUACUUUGACGAAGAAAAGCCACGCCGUGUGAGUGUUUCGUAUCGAGAGUGAGUGAGACUGAUUGACGGACUUACUACUACUUUCCGUAUGUAUGGGACGGAUGGGUGAUUGAUGAUUGCCCGUUGGGAGGAGAGUGUGUGUGGCGAUGUUUGUAUUUUUUCGCUUCCGAUAAAAGUGACGGAGGCAAGAAGAAAUAAUAAAAAAAAAACGUAAUCUCAAAUAACGUUUUGGUGUAAAACGAAGAUUAUAAGGCCAACGAAAAAAAAAAAAUAGAGCAAAGCAAAGAACAAAAAUCUGUAGAAAAUCCGAGAAUUUUGAAAUAACGAAAUUUGAAAAUUAUAAAAAUUCGGAUUUGCUUCCACACCGAAAAAAGGGCCAACAUUUGUAUAAUCGUGUGCGUGACAGUUUGUGCUUUAGUUCUUGUUUUACGUUACGUUCUAAGAGUGAAAAAGAAAAUAAAUCCAACAGCAACAACACCGUUCAUUCAUUAUAUAACAAUCUCAACACCAGAAAAAAAGUGGGCCUGAAACUCUGUGUUUUUCUUUUUUUUUCCAAUUUCCUGCUCGGGGCCUCCAUAACACGCUGGCUGAUGAAAAUUUUACUCGCCGCACAAAUAGAGUAGUCGUCGAAACGGCAAAUUCAGUCAAGGAAGCCGUGGCAGCAGCACUAGCUCCAGUCACUCCGGCAGUCAGUCAGUAGCCAGGCACAAUCGUAACUCGAAGUCCAAGAAAGAAAAUUAGAAGAAAAAAAUAAAUAAACCGAACGAAUGCAAAUAAAACAAAAAAAAAAAA
rnacentral:sRNA from 1 species